CCUACGGGUGGCUGCAGUGGGGAAUAUUGGACAAUGGGGGGAACCCUGAUCCAGCCAUGCCGCGUGUGUGAAGAAGGCCCUUGGGUUGUAAAGCACUUUCAGUGAGGAAGAACGCCUGGUGGUUAAUACCCAUCAGGAAAGACAUCACUCACAGAAGAAGCACCGGCUAACUCCGUGCCAGCAGCCGCGGUAAUACGGAGGGUGCGAGCGUUAAUCGGAAUUACUGGGCGUAAAGCGCGCGUAGGUGGCUUGAUAAGCCGGUUGUGAAAGCCCCGGGCUCAACCUGGGAACGGCAUCCGGAACUGUCAAGCUAGAGUGCAGGAGAGGAAGGUAGAAUUCCCGGUGUAGCGGUGAAAUGCGUAGAGAUCGGGAGGAGUACCAGUGGCGAAGGCGGCCUUCUGGACUGACACUGACACUGAGGUGCGAAAGCGUGGGUAGCAAACAGGAUUAGAUACCCCUGUAGUC
rnacentral:rRNA from 1 species